UACGCCCCACACAAUGACACGGACCCACAGGGACCGCCCGUUCCUCUUUCUGCGCAGAGCCGGCUGCAGGCGGGGCCACGGGGCACCCCAUGGCCGCGCUGCUGCUGCUGCUGCUGCUGCUGCUGCCCCACGGCAUCGGGGCGACCACCCCGCAGCCCACGCUGGCGCCGUGCCGCUGCGACACGGUGGGCAAAGCGCCGGACGCGUGCCCCUACCCCCAGUGCCUCUGCUCCGCGCCCCACGGCCCCGUCAACGCCUCCGAGUUCCACGCACGGGAAUGUCGGGGCAGCGCGGGGACGACGGCGGCGGCCGUGGGUGGCAGCUUGGCAGCGGCGGCGGCGGUGGUGGUGGCGGUGGCGGCGGUGGUGGUGUGGAGGUGCAGGAGGACGGCGGGCGCUGCGGGGUGGGGGAAGCGGGAGCCCCCCCCGGUCAAAGGGCAGCCCCGCUACAUCAGCCGUGAGGCAGAGAGCGGCCCCGCUGCCGUGGGGGUCUGCCUGGCGCCCGACUAUGAGAACGUCUUCGUCGGCUCCUGUGCGGCCCCCAGCGAGGCCCCGGUGCGGGACAGGACACAAGGGUGGCAGCAGAAGGGGUACAGCCCCCAGGCGCCGUCGGACGAUCUCUAUUUCCUGGAGAGCGACACAGGGGAGCAGCCCAUCUAUGCCAACACCGAGACCCCCGGAGAGGACGUGUACGUCAUCCCCGACCCGUGAGGGCAGCGCCUCGGGAGCUUCCGCCGCGCUGGGACGGCAGAGGGGAUUUUUCCCCUUUUUUUUUGUUCUGCAACGAGAGCACAAACCGCUGCGCGGCCGCUUCCUGCGCGGGGCCGAGAGCGGAAGCGGCCGCUUCUCCUCGGGGUUCGCUCCGCGAAAUGGGGACGGGGCACCGGGACGCGCCGCUCCCCGCACGUCGCGCUGCGGCACCGAGCGCCGCUCGAUGGGGACGGCCCCGCUGCUGCCCUCUGCUUUCCUGCGAAAUCCGCCGGUUUGGGGCAAAAGUGCCAUUUUUGGACGCUCUUGGCAGUGUCUGGCUGCGAGGUGACGGCUCUGGGACGUGCGCGGGGGGAGGCGGUGGGGACACGGGGACACCCCUUGUCCCAGCCCUGCGCGGCUCCUUGUGAUGCCCCACGGUGACAUUAAAUGUUGGGCUGUCCUCAGUGACCCAUAGGGCUCACGGUGUGUGGGGCGCAGAGGGCGGAACCCGCAGAGGGGCUGUGUGGGGUCCCGGGGGGGGUCCUGUUCCUGCGGCAGAGGUGCCAUCAACACGGACCCUGCACGGGCAGGUUCCCGUUUCCCAGCCCCCCAAGCACACGUCCCCAGCGUGGUGACCCCAUGUCCACAUCCACUGAGUAGUGGUCCCCAGAGCCCACAUCCCCAUGCUGGAGCUCCCCCUGUCCCAUGUCUCCGUAUCUCAUGUCCCACAUCCUCACGUCUCAUGUCCCCAUGUCUCAUGUCCACGUUCCCCUGCCCCUUGUUGCAUGUCUCAUGUCCCCUAUCUCUAUGUCCCCAACCCCACAUCUCACGUCCCCCAUCCUCCUAUCUCAUGUUCUCAUGUCUCACGUCCCCCUGUCCCAUGUUCCCCAUCCCCAUGUCCCCCCAUCCUAUGUCUCAUGUCCCCAUGUACCUAUGUCCCCCCACCCCAUGUCCCACAUCCUCAUAUCUCAUGUCCUCAUAUCUCAUGUCCCCAUCCCAUGUCCUAUGCUCCCCUGUCCCAUGUCCCCCAUCCCCACGUCCCCUGGCUGUGGGUACCAGUAAAUGACAGCACCAUGUCCCAGAUGGGUUCAGGGCUGUCCCAGCACCUGCCCCAAGGACACAGUGGGGGCAAAGUGCUGCGGGAGCAGUGCCCACACAUGACUCACCCACAGGUGAUGGAUGGAGACAGCGGGUGGGGGGGAGGGGGAGGCACGCGGUCGCAUGGGGUGGAGCUGCUGGCGCCCUGUUCCCAUCACUUUAUUCAUUUACAUCGCGAUCUGGUUUAUAGAAAUAUAUAAAUAUAAAAAAAAAAAAAUCCCAACAAAGCAUUCUGCUGUACAAUGCAAUAAAUAAUGAGCAAUAAAUAAAGGACUGUAUAAA
ensembl:lncRNA leucine rich repeat containing 25